rnacentral:tRNA from 1 species
UUUGGGAUGUAGCUCAAUGUUAGAGUGCUUACCUAGCAUGGAUGAGGCUCUGGGUUCAAUUCCCAGUACUGAAG